AAUGGCGACGCAUCUUUCAAAUGUCUGCCUUAUCAACUGUCGAUGGUAGGUUCCAUGCCUACCAUGGUGGUAACGGGUAACGGGGAAUCAGGGUUCGAUUCCGGAGAGGGAGCCUGACAAACGGCUACAACAUCCAAGGAAGGCAGCAGGUGCGCAAAUUACCCACUCCCGGAAAGGGGAGGUAGUGACGACAAAUAACGAUACGGGACUCAUCCGAGGCCCCGUAAUCGGAAUGAGAACACUUUAAAACCUUUAAACGAGGAUCAAUUGGAAGGCAAAUUUGGUGCCAGCAGCCGCGGUAAUUCCAGCUCCAAUAGCGUAUAUUAAAGUUGUUGCGGUUAAAAAGCUCGUAGUCGGGUCUGUGUCUGGACGGUGCUGGAUCACCCUGGCGGUCCGUCGUGUCGCGGCCGGCCACGUCGCGGGACCACGUGUCCCGUCGGCGCGGUCGCCGUCGCGCUUGUCAGCCGUCCGGGGUGUUAGUUACGUCGGCCGGACGUAUUGUCGGCAGGCGAACACGUGUCUCAUGCUUCCGGCGCGCCUCGCGGCCAUCGGUGUUCGACGACGGCGGCCACCUACUCCAAUCUUGCUGCGCGGUGCUCUUCACCGAGUGCCGCCGGCGGGCCGACACGUUUACUUUGAACAAAUUAGAGUGCUCAAAGCAGGCUCGAAUCUGGCGGGGCGGCUUCACGGCCGUCUCGUCAAAAGCCCUGAAUACUGGUCGCAUGGAAUAAUGGAACAAAACCUCGGUCCCGCGCAUCUCCGCCCAGAUCGGAAGACCGC